UACGUAGGUGACAAGCGUUAUCCGGAUUUAUUGGGCGUAAAGCGCACGCAGGCGGCUCUUCAAGUCUGACGUGAAAUCUCUCGGCUUAACCGGGAGCGGUCGUUGGAAACUGAAGGGCUUGAGGCGAUGAGAGGGGUGUGGAAUUCCCGGUGUAGUGGUGGAAUGCGUAGAUAUCGGGAGGAACAUCAGUGGCGAAAGCGGCACCCUGGCAUUAGACCUGACGCUCAUGUGCGAAAGCGUGGGGAGCGAACGGG
rnacentral:rRNA from 1 species